CAGGAUCUCCUAGCCUUCUUCCUCAGUAACAUCCCCUACCUUGUGAAACUUCUCAGGCCACUCAAUGGCUUCUGGGUUGAUGGUGAACUUGAUGCCAGUAGAUGCCUCUCUACUUGUACUGCCAAUCUUCACCAAAGCAUGAGACUCAUUGGGAAACAUCACCCAAUUCAUGAUAUCAAAGUCAGGAGGCAGCUCCCAAUUCUCAUCCAAACACAUUGUGCCCCUGGAAGUAUUCAAACACUGGAUUUCUUUUAAGAAAGGGUGGAGCUGGAAUGACAGGGAAAACAGCAGUAUUUUAUUGUUCCUCACUUGAAGCAAGCGACUUUCCAAAAUAACAUUAAUACAAAUAAUAAAUAAGAUUAAUACAAAAGUCAAUACAAUCUUCUUCUUUUUUUAAGAACCAAAAUGCCUAACAGAGACAUCGGUCUGCUGGAACUAGCUGAGAGAACAUCAUUUCCACAGGUGAUGUCAUGAAUGAGCCAACUGAAGAAAGCAGCCAGGAAGAGAGAGAGUUAACUGCCAUGCAGGAUGAGCAUCGGCUAAUGCCUACUCUUCCACCCCCUUGGAAUGCCGGCUGACGAGGGAAUGGCGGAGAACGUAGUCAGGAACGUAGUCAAAGCUCGCCAGAAGCACAAACCGGCAGGAAAGAGUUAAGGGACAGCCUCUCAGAGAAUGAGGAAGAGGAGGGAGUUGACUCACUCUCUCCAAGGUCUCGACAAAUGGGAAGGCUUCAAGAUAAGAAGGAAAACAAAAGAUGUAUGAAGUGAAAGUUCAGUUGCUUCUGGUCGCGCUGGAAGCAUUCUUCAGAAGGGUCAUCUUGACUGAUGAUGGAGGCUGUGUUAGAGCCAGCUGGAGUUACCUGUUUGUUUUGACAAUAAAUCAUCCUUUUUAAUUAACUACGCUCACUGUGUUAUCAAGCCGGGGACUGGAUUCCUGACUGGUGACCUCUUUAUUUCUAGUGAAGAUUGAUCAUAUCAGAAGAAUUUUUAUUUGCAUCAACCACAAGUCAUAGCAAUAAAAUUGUCAGCAUCGCCCUUGAGUCAGUGCCACCAACUGGACUCACACACUUCAGCCCUGACUGGGCCAGGUGAGCUGGGUAGCACUUCCAGAGACCACCUUCUGCACAGGAACAGGUCAAAGUGCUGUGGACUCACAGCUUAGGGUUGUGAGCACCAGAUUCACUUCCACAAGAAGACAGUCGUCGCACAGCAGAGUACAGCAGAGCAUAAACGACUCGGAGAGCAGCUCUGUAGAAUAUCUUCUUUAUUCUGUCUACAACUAUAAUACACAACUAUGUACAGAGCUAAAUGAGGUCUAAACGAAAAUGCUGAACUGCACUGAGUGUCUGCAGCUGCUCUUAGCAGCAACCUUAUCUAUACACACGAUCUCUCUCUAACACUCAGUCUCUCUCUCUCUUUGAUAUGAGGCUGGAGCGAAAUAAGUAGAGAGCAGAAACCGCCCCCUCCUCUCUUGAGAGUCAGCAGAGAACAUCAGCAGAUUCUUGGAUAUGGGAGGGGUGAAAUCUCCUCAAAAAUAUGGUACAUGACCCCAGUCAAGUUUGCAAAAAUCUAUCAUUUGCCCGAUAAUAAAUGUUGGAAAUGCAAAGAAACUGAAGGUACAUUCUUUCACCUUUGGUGGACGUGCCCAAGGAUUAAGGCUUUCUGGGAGAUGAUUUAUAAUGAAAUAAAAAAGGUACUGUAUUUAAAUAUACCUUUCUGAAGAAACCAGAGGCCUUUCUUCUGGGCAUUGUCGGCCAAUUGGUGCCAAAGAAGGACAGAACUUUUUUUAUGUAUGCUACAACAGCAGCAAGAAUACUCAUCGCAAAGUAUUGGAAGACACAAGAUCUACCCACUUUGGAAGAAUGGCAGAUGAAGGUGAUUGACUACAUGGAAUUGGCGGAAAUGACUGGCAGAAUCCGAGACCAGGGAGAAGAGUCGGUGAAAGAAGACUGGAAGAAAUUUAAAGACUAUUUACAGAAAUAUUGUAAAAUUAAGGAAUCUUAGAAGAAUGUUGGAUAGAAACUAAGUGGUUUUUAGCUGUAAUUCUUUAAGAGAUAUGAAAAAAGGUUUACAAAUGGGUAAAAGCUUAAUGGUAAGGAUUUGCUGAACUAACAAACUGAACUGGAAUACAAAAAAGGGAGGUACGAGGAGGUCCGGGGAAAUAAGUGUAAGGAAGAUAGGUUAUGGAAAAUUAAUGUCUCUUUAACUGUUUUAUUUUGUAUGUUUCUUUUUAUUUUUUACUUUUUUGUUAUUUUUUAAAAAACUUUAUUCUUUUUUCUGUAUUCUGUAUUUCUUGUAUUUUUUGAAACUUUAAUAAAUAUCAUUUUUU
rnacentral:lncRNA from 1 species